rnacentral:rRNA from 1 species
GGUAACGCGUGGGUAACCUGCCUUAUACAGGGGGAUAACACUUAGAAAUAGGUGCUAAUACCGCAUAAGCGCACGGGGCUGCAUGGCCCAGUGUGAAAAACUCCGGUGGUAUAAGAUGGACCCGCGUCUGAUUAGCUUGUUGGCGGGGUAACGGCCCACCAAGGCGACGAUCAGUAGCCGGCCUGAGAGGGUGGACGGCCACAUUGGGACUGAGACACGGCCCAAACUCCUACGGGAGGCAGCAG